rnacentral:rRNA from 1 species
GAAUAUUGCUCAAUGGGCGCAAGCCUGAAGCAGCGACGCCGCGUGGACGAUGAAGGCUUUCGGGUCGUAAAGUCCUUUUUUGGGUGACGAGCAGGGACGGUCGCCCAAGAAUAAGUGUCGGCUAACUACGUGCCAGCAGCCGCGGUAAAACGUAGGACACGAGCGUUAUCCGGAGUUACUGGGCGUAAAGGGCGUUUAGGUGGGUGAUUAAGUUCGCUAUGAAAGCGCCGGGCUAAACCCGGCGAGGCUGGCGGAUACUGGUCAUCUGGAGUGAGGAAGAGGGAAGUAGAAUUCCGCGUGUAGUGGUGAAAUGCGUAGAGAUGCGGAGGAAUACCAGUGGCGAGGGCGACUUCCUGGUCCUCAACUGACACUGAAGCGCGAAAGCAUGGGGAGCGAAC